AUGCGCGGGCCGGAGGCUGUGGCUGGAGGCGAACCUGGACAGCCGCCCUGCGGCCCCCUGAGGGAGGCGGCUGGAGCGCCCACGCGGUCAGCACUGUCCGGUCCAGUGGGCCCAGGUGGGCCUCAGAUGCCUAGAUGUCGUGAGACCACGAACUUGGCACGUCUGACACCUAACAGGUUGGAAGUUAUUUUCCCACUAACAACAGCACAGUUGAGGAAACUCGGACAGAUGCAGGUUUAUCUGGUGAAGAGUUCUGGAAGGAGCAUGACAGCAUCCUUUCCUGUAUGGGGUUCUCUGCGAAAUAUCCUGGGCCAGUGUAGUCCUUUCUCUCUAAGGACACUGAGAUCUGCCUGUACACAGGGGAGAGACUUUGAAGGCUGCGGAGAGGGGCCUGAGUCUUCAGUUGACCAACUUGACUUACAACCAGCCCUGGCGAAUGAAUUGAGUACUCGUAAGUCAAGGUUCUGAUGUACAUUUAAUUAAAACCAAGUACAAAACCCGGUUCCCCAGUCAUUCUGGCCAAGUUUCAAGGGCUCAGGUGCUCAGGGGUGAGUGGUCCCUGUACAGUGAGUGGCACAGAGAGAGCCAGUUCUCCCUGCAGGGUGGGCAGACUGGGACGGCAUUGGGCUGGAUGAGGUGCAGCUGGGGGCAUCACAUGCCUGCUUUCGCGUUGUGGGACCUGGGUCUGAUUCCCAGCACCACCAAGACCAAAAUGUCCAAAUAACCAGGGCAGAGCCAGCCCUGUUGUGUUGGUCUGAUGUUGGGUAGGAAAUUUAUUUCAAUUAAAAAAAUUAUUGAUCUGUUCAAACUGUCUUUCUUGUGAAAUUUUGGUAUUAUAAAUUUUGCCUGUGGAUUUCUAUUUUAUUUAGCUUUAAAGCCAUUAGCAGUUUAUAUUUAUAAGUAUCUAUUGACUUUACUCAUCUUUUCUAUUAUCUUUUUAUUAUAUUCCUCAUGUCUUUGGAUUUUGGUCUGGUUUUUUUUUUUUUUUUUUGGUCUGUUUUUAUCUUAACUGAGUUUAAUGUUUCACUCAUUUAUCUUUAACAUUUUUUAUUUCCUGAUAAAUGCAUUUAGGGUAUACAUUUUCCUUGAAGUACUGUGUUAGUUGAGUCCCACAAAAUUUUACAUGUAUGGCUCAGUUUUAAAUAUUUCAUAAUUUAUUUUCUACUAAGAGUUGUUUUUUUUUUUUUUUUCAGUACCAGGGAUCAUACUCGGGACCUUGCACUUGCGAGGCAGGUGGAGGAACCACUGAGCUAAAUUCCCGGCCCACUACUGAGAGCUUUUUAGAAA
rnacentral:lncRNA from 1 species